AAUCAACGCUGGCGGCGUGCCUAACACAUGCAAGUCGAGCGAGAAAGGGGUAGCAAUACCCUGAGUAAAGCGGCGCACGGGUGGGUAACACGUGGGUAAUCUGCCCUAGAGUGGGGAAUAACACCGGGAAACCGGUGCUAAUACCGCAUACGGUUACGGGGUCUGCGGACCUUUUAACUAAAGGAGCAAUUCGCUCUUAGGAGGAGCCCGCGG
rnacentral:rRNA from 1 species